AAUAACCUGAAAGAUCAGAGAAGCAGGGGAGCAGUCACCAGUGACUUCUUACCUCUCUGGAUCCUCAGACCAAAAAGGCCGAGAUCCUGUCUCCACUUCACUUUAUCAUUUCCUGUCUCCACCUCUCAAGCACUAGGAUUAAAGGUGUGAGCCACUACCACCCAGCUUCUAUGGUUAUCUAGUGGCUGGCUCUGCCCUCUGAUCUCCAGACAAGCUUUAUUUGUCAGAACACAAACAAAAUAUCACACAACCCUUCAGGGGCCUCAGACCUAAUGGCUAAUCUGUAGACCCUGAUGCCCAUCUUACCCACUUGGUGUAUCAGACAUGUUUUCUUUAGUGAUCUGUGCCUCAGUUUCUCUGUCUGCCAAAUGGGAGUGACAAUGAUAAUAAUCCCUGCCUCUUAGACAUUGAUGUGAAUCAAAGAAGUUCCUGUACAAGACUGUUGGAUAUAAGGCCCUGCCUUACUGUAUGUGAAAUGCGUUUGAUAUUAUUGAUUUAAAGUGGUUGUUUUCCAGUACUUCUAGGCCUCUAUUACAAGUUGAAAGAUAAUAUUUUUGAUAUAUAGGAAUAUAUGAAAAAUAUUAGAGCCAGGCAGUGGUGGUCCAUGCCUUUAAUCCCAGCACUUGGGAGGCAGAGGCAGGGUGAUCUCUGUGAGUUUGAGGCCAGUCUGGUCUACAAAGCUAGCUCCAGGACAGCCAGGGCUACACAAAGAAACCCUGUCUUUAAAAAAAAAAAUUAGAAAAAUUAAUUUCAACAUUUUAAUUGUCUACUACAAAAAUUUAAUCGUAUUAUUAAAUGUGGCUCAUAUUAGUAUUCCUGUGUGUGUGUAUGUGUGUGUGUGUGUGUGUGUGUGUGUGUGUGUGUGUGUGUGUGUGUGUGUGUUUGCCUGCAAGCCUCAGGAAUCCUCCUGUCUCUGCCUCCUGAGCACCUGAAAUUAUAAGCACAUGCCACAUGCUGGUUCUGUACAGGUUCUGGGGAUCAAACCAGCUCCUAAUACUUGUGUGUCGAGCACCUCCAGACUGAGGUAUCACCCCAGCCUUCACAUUAAUGUUCUCAAUGGACACUGAUGGAUUGAACACUCUGUUUGGAGUCUGAAGGAAGAAAGUAUAACAAGCAUUUUGCACAUGGCCUCAAGCACAGUGGGGCUUGUUAAAUAUCUCCCACCCCAGCACCACACCUUUCCCUCUCUCAGGGCAGCUGAGUAUUUGUGCCCGAGUACGAAUCACAACUUUCCUCAUGAAGGCUGAGGUUGUGGCAAAAGGGACCAUGACCAAGUGUCUCAGACAGACCUGGAAGGAUGGACACCAGGAAUUCUGUGGUGGACACGUGACCCCACUAUCCUGUGAUGUGGGUCCGCCAGAGUGCCUCUUGCUCAGGCCACUGUUCAUCCUGGAGCCUAGAGCUUGUGGCUUCUUCCUGUUCAGCCAGGGCCCAACCUUGGGUACCGUUCCUGUUUCCAGGGCUCCUGAGGCUCAAGACUGGAGAAGGGGAAGAGGAAGAGCACAAACAGUGCCGUUGGUUAACACGACGUCACCCCCCCCCACCCCCAUUGCAUCCUCCACACCAGGGUCCGGGAAAUGUGAGAUAAACAUAUGUGUGUGGUAAUGAGAUUGUUGGUGGCAAGUCAGCUUGGGGAGGACAAGGAGCAAUUAAGCUUGCUGACUUACACAAGUUAGAAUGACGAGAUGCUGGGGCUGGCCCCACUCAUCACAUAAUAAAGCCUGUCCCUGUCAGCCAUGGCACAUCACCGCUGCCGGGAGCUGGGUGCUCGCUCUUCUCCUCCUUACGGCUACCCCCACCAGGCCCAGCAACACUGCCUGUCAGCAGCACCUGCAUCCACACACCCACCCUUUCUGAGCAUAAUCCAGGAAUACGCCUCUGCCAGGAAGGCUUGCAUCUAGUUUUAACUGGAUACCAAUCCAGCUGCCACAGAUAUGGGGUGCUGCCUCUGAGGUGCCUGAGAAAAUGUGCCCUGGCUGGGGAAAUUCUGUGGAAAAGAGUGCUCACUGAGCAAGUAUGAGGAUCUUAGUUCAAAUCCCCAACAAACGCUUGAAAAGGUGGGCAUGGCCAUGUGUACCUGUACUCCUGUUGCUUUUGUCGGGGGUGGGGUGCAGAAACAGGAGCAUUUCUGGGGUUUGCUUUGUGGUGGUCUAGCUACAGGUUCACUGAGAGACCCAGUCUCAAGGGAAUAAAUAAAGUGGAGCGUGCCACGCUCCAUCCUCAUUUACCUCCACAUGCACACACAUAGUUGCAUAACACACACACACACACACACACACACACACACACACACACACACACGCCCUGCUUUCAUAGACCUUAGGAUUGACACCAGUUUCCAGAGACAGAAUACUUCAGAGGCUGAAGCCUGAUGACCUAGCUGUACUGGCUGGUUGUAUCAACUUGGUACAAGCUAGACGCAUCAGAGAGGAAGGAGUCUCAGCUGAGGAAAUGCCUCCAUGAGAUCCAGCUGUAAGGCAUUUUCUUAAUUGUUGAUUGAUGGGGGGAGGACCCAGCCCUUGGUGGGUGGUGCCAUCCCUGGGUUGGUGGUCCUGGGUUCUACAAGAAAGCAGGCAGAGCAAGCCAUGGGAAGCAAGCCAGUAAGCAGCACCCCUCCGUGGCCUCUGCAUCAGCUCCUGCCUCCAGGUUCCUGCCUUGUUUGAGUUCCUGUCCUGAUUUCCUUCAGUAGUAAACAGAAAUGUGGAAGUGUAAGUCAAAUAAACCCUUUCCUCCCUAACUUGCCUUUUGGCCAUGGUGUUUGGUCACAGAUAGACACCCUAACUAAGAUACUAGCCCUUUCACACUGUUCCUGGCCAUGGGGAAGGUUGUCAUUGUUGUCCUAACAAAGAGCCCAGGCCCGGAGUCUGAGGCCUGGGUUGGCCCUCUUAUCUGCACACUGAAAUGGAGGAGGCUUGAAAAGGCUCUUGUCCAUGACAGCCGAGUGCACGAAAUUACAGGAGAACAUGGGAUUCUUCCUGUUUGGAGGUGACCUUGAGGCCCACCCUCAGUCUCAUUCCUGUCCCUUUCCACUCCCAAUGCAGUGCCAAGGCCUGGGCUCAGUAACAGCAGCAAGAGGACAGUAUUAAACAUCACAUCUCGCAGAGCUGACCACGGCUCCAUCUCCCAGUCAGUUUGUUGUUGGAGGUGGAAAAACUCCUCCCAUCCUUCUGGACUUUGGGUUGGUGGAGUGAUGGGGUAGGUGAGAGAGGAGGGAACGCUUUCCUGCCCCUUGGUGCUGCCUGGGAGUCGCUGGUACCCAGAGUUUCCCUUUCUCAAAUUCACAGGUGGUUUUCAUGGAUGCCCUAUGGGUAAUUGGCCCUGGGGAAGAGAGAGAGAGAGAGAGAGAGAGAGAGAGAGAGAGACUCUGCACUAAGGCUCAGUUGUGAUACCAGUGCCUGUUUGACCCUGACUCUGGGUCCCCAGUUGGGGCGGGUUGUCCAUCUGUCUCCACACAGGCCCGGGGGAGAUGAGGAUGGCUGGUGCGGCAGAUGUCCCUGGUUGCAUGGCUCAUAGCAUGUCCUCUGGGAUCCCAUGUCCCCUUCAGGGAAAACAGGACUGAUAUAGUUUAGUGAAACAUAACUGAUUUCCUUUUACGAGACAGUAGCAAGCCUUACCAAAGGUUCUUUUUUGUUAAUCAUGACUUUCCAAAGGAGAGACUCUCCCCGAAAUAUGAACACAAACCUCUGCCAGGAGCACAAUUGGUUGAAUCCUAGACUAAAAAGUUGUAUUAAAAUGUAGUGUCAUGUAUCAUCUGUAAAGAAGGGAACUUCGAAGUGCUUUAGGCCACAGUGAGUGUUCCCCGGGAGGUGGCCUCUCGCAGGCCUGUGACAGCAGCGUGCUGUGUGCCGUGGGAGUGCUGCCACGCUUUUCUGGUCUUUGAUUUCUCUGUUAUCUCAUUUCUGACAUCCUGCUUCGAUCUAGAAUAGUGUGAUUCUCUGGUCACAGCCGUGAAGAAGCGACACCUUUUACCCCGUGUGUUUAACACCAAUGCGUAAGAAGUAGGCACUGAAUAGAAAUACUGUCAGGGAGAUAACCACGGAAGCAAGGACCUGCACCAUCCAGGGGACACUUCUCCAGGUCUCCAGGACGGUGAGGAACAAGUCCCUUCCACUUGUCCUAGUGACAAGAACCAAGUCCUGUUUGUUUCAUUAAAGACGGCGAGGCCUGACCCUUGCUGAGCUCCCGGAAGCGGCAGUGGCAGCGACAAGCUGCAUCUUCAUGGUUAAACCUUCAUCCAAUGCCUGCUUUUUUUCCCUGAUAAUAAAAUGACACUUUGUAUAUUUCCCGUAAUAAGAUAAUUCAACCUCCCCACUUUGAGGGGGACGGCACCUGGAAGAAUGGAUUGUGAAAACUUCUUAUGCCUCCAUUUUCCUAAGCUGAAUCCCUGCCAAGCCCACGGCCUGGCCUUGGCCUGGUGUUCUGACAUGGAGAGCUGCUAGCUUGUGCCUUCAGGCCUCUCCAUCCUCCUCUGUAGCUGGUGUUCCCAGGGAAAAGAGAAAGAACCCUUCUGCUAUCAAUUUUGAGACAUCUCCAGGAUAUGUGUCACACACUUCGUGGCACUGUACCUGUGGCUCAGAGUCGCUGUCCUUUUCCCUUCAUAGACGACAAAUGAACAAGAUAAAGCUGAGAAAAAAGCUGUGUUCUUUAGAAUUUUUUUCAAGAUGGUAGUACCAUAUGGAACAAUGAAAGAGAUGAGAUUUGAACUCAUGUCCCUCAGAACACACACCACACAUACUACACACACACUAAACACCACAUAUACUAUACCUACAUACCACACUACACAACACACAUAUAUAUAUACACACAAGUGUUCAUGUGCAUGUACACACACAUACACACCACAAACACAUACUCCACACACACAUACACAUAUAUACAGAAGUACUUUCCACAGCACUGUGUCUCUGGAGACUUUCCUUGCAUGGUUGGAGCAGGAUCCCCUCAGCUGAGCAGAGCAUGAUGAACAGAACAGAAUCCUGAGAAAUUUCUUACUGAAAGAAGGAAAACCAUUUCUGUACUGGGCCCAGGCAUUGAUAAUGCCAGGCUCUCCUCAGGACCAUCUGUGCCUUGUCCAAUCAGGAGCCCAAAAGCUGCGUGUAGCCAAGGAUAGCUAUGAACAUGACUCAGCACAGAAUUGUAAACUUACUUAGAACACUGUGAGCUAAUUUUUAUUCUUGCAAACUUUUUAGUGACUUUUUCGUGUGGUGAAUUUUGUAGACAAUAACAUCAUGUCACAGACUCCAAAGGUUGGACAUGCCCAUUUUCCUGACAUGUGGAGGUCAGAACUGCCCAUCGACUUCCAAACUCCAAUCCUUAGAUGUUAGGUAACCUUGAGACUUUGGAAAUCUGGCGUUUAUCUGGAGGAUGCAUUUGGAGUAGUUCUAAAUUAGCACUUUGGACAGAUGUUGAGAGAACACUGAGGAAAGUCAUUAAAAGGAACAUUUUUAUUUAUUUCACCAAUAGGUGGACCCUCUUGAACUGCAGAGCAUCUUCUAUAGAGCCCUGGGUGCUCAGGUGUCUUCACUUGGUUUUCCAGAUGGACAGUCCCAGGCAAGGAGGCCCUGCAGUUUGCCUGAAGCUGUGCUGUGGGACUCAACAGUGCUGAGAGGCUCUCUCAGGUAUCGUUUCCAACCAAACACUGAGAGGCUGGUGUCUGCUCUGCGGUCCUGUGAUGGAAGGCACUGCUGGAGGUGGAUGGAUGGGGGGGUGGGGUGGGGGGUGCUGCUUGCAUCUUAUGUGAAAAACACAUCAUGGCUGGAUGCAUGCCUCGGGUGCCACACCUACUGAAGUGUGUGGAGAAAAGGGGCAGCGAGACUCGUCUCACGUUCUAGAGGUCUGUGGUCUUCAGGAGAUAGAGUGUGGACAUACAGGUGUCGGAGUGCUAUUCUAGGAGCUGAAGUGUGGUAGGAAGGAAGGCUGCAUGGAACUCAGACACGAGAGUGACAGCCUAUUCUUAAGUAAGAAGGCUGGGAACAUAAAUAGGCAGGUAAGGGCCGAAGCUGCCUCCCUGUCACCCUAACCUGUUUGCUCCGUGAAAGCCACCUCUUUGUAAAGCUUGCUGGUACAGCCAACCCAGGUAAAGUCCCACCAGCAGCAGAGACCCCAGCAUUUCUUAUGUCCCAAGUAAGAUUCUGCAAAGUCCCUGAAGUGUUGACCACUAAGGAAGGCACUGCCGGGGCAGGGGAGGCGGCUCGGUUCUAAGGUGUAAGCACAGGGGACUAAGGACCCACAUUAAAACAUGAAAGGCCAUGGGCUUAUGACCCUGAUGCUGGAAAGGCUGAAAGGGCAGAUCCCUGAGCUCCCUGGCCAGCCACGCUGACCUAUUGAGGGUGUUUCAACAGUGAGAGAUCGUAAAAAGAAUGAAAAGAAAAAAAUUGAGGAACUGAAGUAUUCUCUGACUUCUACAUGUACAUUCUUGUGCAUUCACACAGGCAUAUCUGCAUAUGCCUGUACACACACACACACACACACACACACACACACACACACACACACACACAGCCUUUUUCCUCCUCAGUCUUUCAAAAGCUGCCUACUUCCGUUCACUCCUACCCUGGAUCUUCCUCUCUACCCUCCUUCUCUGAAUUUAUCAAUGGUUACCUCCAGUAACCAUCUCUUGUCCCUGCCUCCAAGCUGAACUGGACACAUAAGCAUGAUUGAGCUUUCUCCUGCCGGCCUCCUUCUGACUCUUCUGGUCAUAUAUACCCUGUACCACCCGGCUCUGUCUUCUUCUGUGGGUAGUGGGAGAGCAGAGAAGGAGAAAGAGAUACAGCCGGCCAUUGUUUCCAAGUGAAUAGCUACUCUAACCACAGUCACAAGCCCUGUGAGGAUGGACAGGUACCAGGGCCACUGAGGGCUCUGCCCAGUUCCACUUGCUCCUGCCUCUUGGCUUGUUCCAGGGCUCCCUCAAAUCCCCAAAUUUAGAUUUCACCUAUGACUUUGGCGGCUUCCCGUCCUUACACUUGUCCUCAACAGAGUUCUACUGUGACUAUUACAGUGACAUAUUCACAAGCACGUGCGUGUAUUGUAGCUUUUCCCUUAAAAGGCCACAGCCUCUUCAGAGACAAUAAUUCUAUUUAAAUAAAGGCUAUGUGGGUUGUUAUGGUGCAUGUUCCAAAAGAUCGGAUCUGAAGGUGUCAGAGACCUGGUGUCCUUGCAUCAGCUCGUAAAAUACUAUGCUCCACAGAAUGUGCAGGGGGCUGCUGGCAUUUUUAUUUGGUGCUACUGUGUAAGGACUGAAGUAUAACUGGUGGUCCCAGGUCAGGGGAUAGAGGGCUUAGCUGUGACAAUGGAUUCAACUUUAAGAACAGGACAACUAUGGAUGGAGGUCCCAGGACUGUGUCCCUUGUAGACUGUAUGGAAAAGCUGUCAGAGUACUGUGAGGAUCGGACUGAAUCUGGGUUCACAGUGACCAAAGGAACUGCUGAGAGCGCUCACUCUGACCCCGACUGCUGUGUGUGCUUACAGGGUGGGCACCACGUCAGCAGGCAAUGUCACCAGACUCUCUUCUGAGAGCCCUUAGCACAGAUCUGUCUUUUGGACUGGAUGCUGCCACCCAGCAGCAGGGUAUGUUCUAAUUAUUAUUUUAAUUUUGUGUUGGCAGAAAGAUACUUUGAGGGAAGCACUUCCUUUGGGGGGCUAUUCAGAUCUCCAGACUUCUGGCUCAGGGCUUCUCAGCACACAUGAAGAACAUAUUGGUUUUCCCCCAAACUGUCCUCUGUACAGCACUUACCCUACUGCUUGUGGGACCCAGGAUAUGUUUCCUCAGUUCAUCCAUACCUCCUGGGAUGGGGGACCAAACAGAAGGGACAGCCUACAAAGGGUAAAGCCAGCAUAUCCAAAUAAACACUGCCUGGUACUUACGCCGGGCAUGCCUCACUGGCUGCUAGGUCACAGUGAAGAAUUAAACAGAAGCUCCAGGUUUACAUAAUCAAAAUAUGCACCUUACUUGACUUUUUUUUUUCAUAUCAGCUCUUUGCUACAUGAACUUCUUGAACUGACAUACACCGGUAAGACAUUAUUUUGUGUUGUGUAUUAUGGUAUUUUUAGGGGGCAGGGGUGGGAUCAACCUCUCCUAGAUUGCUCAAGGUAACAGUAGUAAGGUUCUCACAGUGAACAUUCCUCCUUCUGAGUUGAAAUAGUGUGGUGUGAAAAGGCUUGAGAACACAGAAUUUCAGGUUCACAGCAGUGUUGGGCUAUUGACAAUUGAUCUCUGACCUAUAGCUUCUGUGCUGUGGUCUUAAAUACUGGAUUCUAGGCUACUGUGGGAGAACUGGUUACAGAAGCUGUCCAAAUAAAAACCAAAACAGAACAAAAAGUCCUCAAACAAAAAACCCCAACCGAAAAAUCAAUAGUUUGCAUAUGCAUUUUAAAUGAAUAUUAUAAGUACAAUAUUUUUAAGAGUAUGGGAAUUAUAGAUGAGUAAGUAUACAUUCAUCAAAUCAGGCCAUUUUGCAUGUGAGUGGUCCCAUAAAAUUUGUAGAGCUCAGGAAAUUAGCAUUCCAAGUGGACAGUCCUAGGUCUUAUCAAAUUUAUUCUGAAAGCUGAACGUUGCUGGUCUGAGUUCACAGGAUCUGAAAUAUGGUAUUUACCCCAUGUGAACAUGUGGUAAAAUCAUCAAGAAAAGCAUGUUGUUCCUUUGCACAAAGCCUCAUUUUAAAGGGAACCUUCACUGGUAAAUGUAUGCAGCCUGUAAGUUCCACAAGGGGUUAAAAUAUUACAGGUACAAGUCAGGUGGACAUUAUAAAUGUUACCCAAAUAAAAGCCCAAAACAGGAAGCCAAGAAGCAAGUCCCUAAGGCAGGCAGUGUCUUAAAUAAUAUCAUCUGUCAAGUUUCCAGCAUCUUGUGGCGGCGGGGACACAAAAAGAAGGUUUUCGUGGUGCUGGGACAUUCUAGCCUCAUUAGCUGCGGCACUCCUCUACACACAGCAUAGGGUUUCACUUUAAUAAGCUGCAGCUACUUCUCACACACUUGCAUUAGAUAAACACCGAAGGAAAUACUAAUGACCAUCUACAGAGGCUCCAUUCCAUUCCUGAUAAACUCCAUUCUGGUGCAGUUAAACCAUAACAACACAUAGAACCGAUCUCUCUUUGCAAACCAGUUCCUAGGGUUUUUUUUUUGUUGUUGUUGUUUAGUGCUGAAAUCAAUCAGCAUCUGCAGUCAUUGUGAAAAGGACCAGAAAUUAUAUUGUCUGUGCUUUUGUGCAUUCAAAACAGGUUAGAAGGGGUAGCAGUUGACUUUUUAGAACUCCUGACUAAGGAAUCCUAGAGGUGUCUUUCUCAGGAGGCAAUGCCUUUUUCCCGGCUGGGUCAAUGGCCUUACACCAAGAACUGAGGAUUGAUUUAUCCCACAUCACUGCUCUGCCCCCAAGUCUUCCCUAGGGCAAGCUGACAAUGGCCCUGAAUUAGGAAUGCACUUUUUGUGAUGUGGACCACGGCAGAGUGUGGACCCUUACACCAUCUCACCUCCCGUUAGUGACUGGACCUGGACAACAACUCGAGGGGACCAAACUAAUAUUCCAUUAGAACCCUACAUUUAAAAAUCAUUUUUCAAAAGAAUUAAAAAAAACUUUUAAAUGUAUUUUUGGGAUUAUUGGAAUGAGCAGAAUCAUUCAUGCUUGUUUUCUAAGAAUAAAUGAAAACAGCAUGUACCAUAGUUUCUCUGUUUGGGGACGGAAAGACAUGUUUCUUCUUCUUCUUUUUUUUAAUGUUGUUUUAUUUUAAACCUGGGUGUUUGAAUUUUACUUUUACAUAGCUGAAUUUAGUAUAUUCCCUCAAAACAUAAUACAUUUUUAUUCCAUAGCUUAAGGGAUCCAUCAGAUAAAAUGUUGGUCUUUCAUCUUUAUUACCCUCCCAUUAAAAUGAAGGAAACCGGGACUCACUUCAGUUUAGAAGAGGCAAUUUAGUUGGUAAUGUCCUCAGUCCUCCAGCCUUUUCAGAGGGAGAGUGCAUUAUCACUGAGAUUUCACACAUCUAUCUGCAUAGGAAGCAACUGAGCCUUUCAGACAUAUACUACGUUAAAUUUAAUAAUAGUCUUUGAUUAGAUUAUUUUAUUACAACAUUUUUCCAUUACCAGUCAUUUCCUGAGCAUACUAACAUUCAUAAAACCUGCCCGCCCUCCGUUUGUUAUGUUUGUAUACGGAAGAGCCGGCCAAGUCUCUCCUGCUACAGUGGCUAGGUCUGAAAGGGACAGAUGAAUAACUAGGCACCACACUGGAUAAGCCUUUCUAGUUCCCUGCACCAGCAGCCCUUCUUCGCUAUGACGAGGACACAAAGAGCCUCGCGUCAGGCUGAUACCCUUCUUCAUAACUCAAAAGCGUCACAGUGGCAAUAGCCUCUAGUGCUAUUUGUCUUUAGUGCGGUUCUGACACUCCGGCAUGAUCCAUAACUCGGCAGCUAUUUACCGUGACAUUUCCCUUCAGUGCGGCCAUAACAUUCAGUGAAGCCAUUAUUUGGUUCCAUUUACCAUAUAAAUUGUAUUGUUGUGCAUGCAUGCUAGCAGCUACAUUAGGUACCUGGAAAUGAGUAAAUCUUGUAAAAUAGAUACUAACAGCUACUCGGAAACAGGGUCUCUCUGCUUCUCAGAUGCAAGGGAAGAAUUAAAUCUGGCCCCCAACUUUCACAAAGCACUCUUAAUUACAUUCCCAUUCAUUGAGCACGUUUGAUGUACUGAAACCCAAGACUGAAAAAUAAUCAGACAGGCUUCACCUUCGGUUAGAAAGGCACUGUGGGGUUUUGAUUCCAUGACAAAAGUGGCAGGCAGCCUUUGGACACCAAAGGUGAAGGGCAGUUUGAAGAGAAGCAGCAUGUAGGUUGAUGGACAGGACUGCACCAGUACAUAGCCUAGAGCAGGUAGCUCCUUUCUCUCCACACUGAGAAGCAAAACGGGAACACAGGGUACCUGACUGCCGUUCCCCCACCAGAGACCAAGCCUUCUGCGUCAAGCCUUUGAGGAGAAGCAAACGGUUAUGAUUUUAGAAGACCUGGGUGCUUACCGUGUUUGGGGACAGGAAGUGAGCUGUUUUUAACCUUUCACCUGCUAGAGUGAGCCCCCUUCUGUGAUCCCUGUUACUGUAUUACCUGAGCCUCUCCUGAGGAGGUAGCACAGAAUUUUCUUCUUCCUCUGUACACAGUAAUUUUUUCACAAAGUCUCCCUAAACCAUAGCUUUCUUUUCCAAAACCCACUCUGUUUCUAAGAGUAAUUUCUUCUUGGAACAGGAACAUUUUCUUCACAGAGAAUCUUACCAGGAUGUGAAUUCAAGUCACCAAAUAGCAGCUGCGUCAUUAAGACAUAUCUGUUUGCUGAAUCACUUAACAGGAUUAAAUUUGGAGAAUUCUCUCCCAAAUGUCUAUUUAGAUAGUUGGGGCUCCUCGCUAAGCAUAUGGACUGUAAGAAUACCAGGCUGACCCGAAUUACUUGCUCACCUGUGAAGUACUUAUUAACACAAGAGCAGCCGCUUCCAAAGCAAAGGAGACUUGGUGAGCUAUUUGAAGACUGAUUUAAAAAACUCAUCAAGCCGGGGACAUACUGACUCGAUCAGGUCCCGCAUCAGGAAUUAAUCUACUUCCCUGGAACAAUAAAAUCUGGAAUGAGACCGUCCAUGACUAAAGAAUCGAAUGUAAACAUUUUACCUCUUAGCUAUAGAGAGAACUUUUAUUGAGGCAUGUUAUUUUCACCCCCAAGGAAAGUGGGGAGCAGAACUCAUUAGCACUACACUUUUGUUUAAGAAAUACUAUGUUCAUCCUAAGGCAUGGAACAUUCCUUUGCUUUGUCAUUGAUGUCAUAGCUUACUGUUGACACUGUGAGGUAAUUCCACCACAAGUUUCCCAAUAUUUUUCCCAGUGUACAUAUAGUCAACAGCCCGGAAUAUA